UCUUGUUAAAAUUUUGUAUCAUCUUUUUAAAUCCACAUAAAUUUCUUUUUAGAUUUCUAACUUUCCCAACGCCAUUACAUUAAAACUAUUUGUAAGAACCCCGCUGUACUGCAAUGUCGAACUGGGUCCACACCCACCACGCUGUCCGUGUCUGCAUGUCUAGUGAACAAACAGGUGGGGCUGUUGGUGGGAGAGGCUGGCGUCCACGUCCGCUUUAUAACUUGACCGCCGUGUGCAGCUGGGCUCCAGUUCCCGUCUCAGAGCAGGUGGGAGAGGGCCUGUGUGACGGGGGAGGAUCCCAUGGACAGCGGGGGGGGACACCCCCACAGCAGCUCUGCAGUCCAGCCCAGCCCCCCUGGGGAGCUUCGGGCUCGGCCGCCCUGCCCCCUCCCACCCCGGGUGUCUGUGCACACAGCAGGUGGAGGGUCACGGUCUGAGAUUGCCCUGGACACCUCCUGUGAGGUCAUCCCCACCUGGGGGCUUUCAGGCUGGGCCAGCGCAGGUCCCUGGGGCACAGGUGAGGUGGCUUCUGCUGCAGAGCUGAGUGGGCCGAGGCAUGGACUGGGGGCAGCGUCGGUCUGCGGCCCAUGGUGGGCAGGGCAGGCGUGUCCCCAGCCUCUGGAUGGCGAGGGUGCUAGAAACGGGGGCCCUGCCUUCAUUCAGUCCUCCACUGGCUGCGGGGUGCCUCCUCACACACCACGCUCCCGAGCCCUCCAUGUGUAUAUGCAUGCACGUGUGUGUGUGCGGCUGUGCACGCACGUGUGCCUGUGCCGGCGUGUGGAGCGGGGAGGGGUGUCAGGGGAAGGCUGGCAGUGGUUCCCCCUACCCCUGCCACCGCGGGCUCCCCAGCCCAGGGCCGGCCCCACCCUGGGCGCCAGGGGUGGAGCGGGGUUUCAGAAACUCUCAGGGACGAGACCAGGCGGCUGGGAAGGGGCAGGAACAUCUCAGCGUCCCUGGGGGAAGUGCUUUGGUGACUCAGAGUGAAAGUGUCUCAGGGCCGCAACCUCACUGCUGGCCUGGGGGCGGUGGGUCAGGGGUGAGAGGAAGAGGGCGGCUUUCAAGGAAAGCGAGAUUCCAUCUCCUGCUUCAGGGCUGCAGACUGAGGUAGCAGGAACCCGAGAGGAGGACAGCGGCAGGGAAGUCCCCUGGCAGGACAGGGCCCCAAGGGUUUGGAGAGGAAGUUGCAGGUCUGGGUGGUGACUACUCAGCCCACAAGGGUUGCUCGCCAGCACUUCCCAGUGAUCUCAGCCCGUCUCUGGUCACCGAAGCAGGACUGGUGGCUGGGAGGGGGCGAGGGGCGCGGGUCAGCCCUUUCGCUGCCGUGAGCCUACCCUUCCCGCCUGGGCCCUCUGCCCGAUCCUGCCCUUCCCACGCCAUGCUGCCCGUCCUAACAGGGUGGACGCCCCACCUGUCAGCGAACAAAAGACAAGAAGACAACGACAGGGUGCUCCCUCUCCAGCCGCCCCUGCCGUACUGGGGAGCAAGUUUUAGCGCAGAAUGGCCGGGAGGCGGGCAGACCCGGCACCCUGUCUCCAGUGUGGCCAGGUUGGCCUUGAGGCUGUGUCUGGGCACCGUGGUGAACGGGUGACGUCUGGAGUCACCCUCCCAACUUGGCACAAACGUGAGGAGCCAAGGAGCCUGAGAAGGUCCUGACGGUUGGAUCUUUCUCACAGUGACUUUGUGAC
ensembl:lncRNA